rnacentral:rRNA from 2 species
UUGACCUCGGAUCAGGUAGGGAUACCCGCUGAACUUAAGCAUAUCAAUAAGCGGAAG